rnacentral:lncRNA from 1 species
UAGAGGGCUCUCAAAAUUUCGACCAUCUGGGGCACCUUAACGUCCAUCUAAAUCUAAGUACACGGGCUUAAGCACUUCGCCUCCAUAUAAAUGUGGCAGCCGUGGCCGGGAUUCGAUCCCGCGACCUUCGGGCCAGCAGUCGAGCGCCAUGACCACUAGGCCACCGCGGCGGGUGCAAAUGCAUAAAG